GACGAACGCUGGCGGCGUGCUUAACACAUGCAAGUCGAGCGAUGAAGCACCUUCGGGUGUGAAUUAGCGGCGAACGGGUGAGGAACACGUGAAGAAUCUGCCUUCAACUCUGGGAUAACUCCGGGAAACCGGGGCUAAUACCGGAUAUGAGCCUUGAUCGCAUGAUCGGGGCUGGAAAGUUUUUCGGUUGAAGAUGACUUCGCGGCCUAUCAGCUUGUUGGUGAGGUAAUGGCUCACCAAGGCGACGACGGGUAGCCGGCCUGAGAGGGCGACCGGCCACACUGGGACUGAGACACGGCCCAGACUCCUACGGGAGGCAGCAGUGGGGAAUAUUGGGCAAUGGAGGAGACUCUGACCCAGCGACGCCGCGUGAGGGAUGAAGGCCUUCGGGUUGUAAACCUCUUUCAGUAGGGAAGAAGCGAAAGUGACGGUACCUACAGAAGAAGCACCGGCUAACUAUGUGCCAGCAGCCGCGGUAAUACAUAGGGUGCAAGCGUUGUCCGGAAUUAUUGGGCGUAAAGAGCUCGUAGGUGGUUCGAUACGUCGGAUGUGAAAAUCAGGGGCUCAACCCCUGACCUGCAUCCGAUACGGUCGAGCUAGAGUUUGGUAGGGGAGACUGGAAUUCCUGGUGUAGCGGUGGAAUGCGCAGAUAUCAGGAGGAACACCGAUGGCGAAGGCAGGUCUCUGGGCCAAUACUGACACUGAGGAGCGAAAGCGUGGGGAGCGAACAGGAUUAGAUACCCUGGUAGUCCACGCCGUAAACGGUGGGCGCUAGUUGUGCGAACCUUCCACGGUUUGUGCGACGCAGCUAACGCAUUAAGCGCCCCGCCUGGGGAGUACGAUCGCAAGAUUA
rnacentral:rRNA from 1 species